rnacentral:rRNA from 1 species
GGACGUACGAUGUCGACUUGGAGGUUGUGCCCUUGAGGCGUGGCUUCCGGAGCUAACGCGUUAAGUCGACCGCCUGGGGAGUACGGCCGCAAGGUUAAAACUCAAAUGAAUUGACGGGGGCCCGCACAAGCGGUGGAGCAUGUGGUUUAAUUCGAUGCAACGCGAAGAACCUUACCUGGUCUUGACAUCCACGGAAGUUUUCAGAGAUGAGAAUGUGCCUUCGGGAACCGUGAGACAGGUGCUGCAUGGCUGUCGUCAGCUCGUGUUGUGAAAUGUUGGGUUAAGUCCCGCAACGAGCGCAACCCUUAUCCUUUGUUGCCAGCGGUCCGGCCGGGAACUCAAAGGAGACUGCCAGUGAUAAACUGGAGGAAGGUGGGGAUGACGUCAAGUCAUCAUGGCCCUUACGACCAGGGCUACACACGUGCUACAAUGGCGCAUACAAAGAGAAGCGACCUCGCGAGAGCAAGCGGACCUCAUAAAGUGCGUCGUAGUCCGGAUUGGAGUCUGCAACUCGACUCCAUGAAGUCGGAAUCGCUAGUAAUCGUGGAUCAGAAUGCCACGGUGAAUACGUUCCCGGGCCUUGUACACACCGCCCGUCACACCAUGGGAGUGGGUUGCAAAAGAAGUAGGUAGCUUAACCUUCGGGAGGGCGCUUACCACUUUGUGAUUCAUGACUGGGGUGAAGUCGG